AUGCGGUGGCUCCGACAGGCAAGGCUGAUGCACGAACGGCGGGAUUUCGUUGGUUGUAGUGGUUGUAGGUUGCAUCGUGAAUCUGGUGGGACGGGAGGCGCGACGGUGGUCUUUCCGCAAAAAGGCUGCCGAUAUCGUUGUGGUGUUGUUGAGAGCGGCUGUAGCAAAAGCGCGGAAUCGAUCGGUUGUUUUGUUAAACAAGGAUGUGAUGAUGGGUAG